UCCCUGGGGGUUCAGUGGUUAAGACUCCACGCUCUGAAUGCGGGAGGCCCAGGUUCAAUCCCUGGUCAGGGAA
rnacentral:tRNA from 1 species